GUGGCAUGGUUUACACUAUCUAGUAAAAGAAUACGUAAAAGUAAAUACAUUUCUAGUGAAUGCACGACCAAUUCUAACCCAUUCACCCUAAACCUUGCAUUCUAAAAUAGUAUCCUGAAACCCUAAACCCCUCCGCAACAUACACAGAUCUUUUCCGCAAGAGGCUUUCUUGCCGCCGGAAGUAAUCGAGAAUAUACUUGUGGAGCUGCUAGUGAACUCACUACUGAGAUUCAGAAGCGUUGCCAAGCUAUGGGAGGCCACUAUCAAUAGCCCGAAAUACAUCUAAGUGAAACCCAACGUUGAUGUCAAACUUAUUAUGAAAGCGGUCUCUCCUUGUUCUGCAUUGAUUUUGAACAGAAACCCAACCCAACAGGAGCAAUUUGACCACCCACUGAAGCAGUCGCAACAACCAUCAAUGCCGGUGAAUUCUUGCAAUGGUUUGGUUUUGAUGAAAUUUGAUAAUUUAUAUGCCCUGUUAUAAUCCAUCCACUAAGGGGUUCUGUAGAUUGUCGGUUUGUAGCAUUUGGGUAGGGGUAGAAAAUUUAAUCCUGCUAAUUUAGGGUAUGAUAGCUCUACAGAGGAUUAUUAAGUGGUUCAAAUUAUCAAAGGCUUGGGCCUGUGUGGGCGACAAUGGUUUAUAGUCUGAAGCUGGAUUCAUGGAAGAAACUUGAGGAUUGUCUAUACAGUUUCAGUGAUUCUGGAUUAUUUUUUAGAGGUGUAUUGUAUUGUAUUGUAUUGGAGGUACGAGUUUUUUUGGCAGGAGGACUUUUGUAGGUUUUAAUCUUGCAACUGAGAGAUUCGAUCAGUUGACAUUUUCUAUUGGUGGUUCAUCUUCAUCAAAAAGGAAAAAGAAAAAGAAAAAGAAAAAGAAGAAGAAUCAUGAGCCUUUUGGUGAUCCAUUGGUUGUGAGUUUGGCUGUGUUGGGAGAAUGUCUUUCUUUGAUUUGUUCAUAUGCUAGGAGAUAUGGCCAUAACCACUUAGCGCAUGUCGUGAUAUGGACGAUGAAGGACUAUGGAAGCAAAUAGUCUUGGGUGAAAUCAUUUCAUUUGGAUAUUGGAGGUUGAGGGUGCAGUGUUGUGAAGCCAAAUACAUAUUUAUCGAGUGUCAAGGAAGUCCUUCUGCAUAUCAACAUGUUUAGCAAUGAGAAUUCUUGCUACCUCCAUAAGCUCAUGUGGUGUAAUUUGGAAAAUUCCUCACACGAACGUCUCGAGAUUACUGGUGAGAUUUUUAGCCGUUUUAAAUUCUUUGUCUGUUUGCGAACCCUUGUUCCCGUAUAUGGAGGUGGAGGUGGUAAUGGAGAUGACGACGCUGGGGCCAACUCAGGAUAGAUUGAAGGUCUAUUUUCUUUUGGUUCAGGAGACAUUUGAGAUUGCAGGCAUCACUAGAAUUUAGAAAUGCGACUAUGAGCCUUGCAAAAUUUAGGUAUAUGCCGUUUGGGAACCAUUGUUUAUAUUUAGGUAUAUGGUUUUUAUGUUAUGUGAGCGCCUAAUUUUUUAUUAUAAUUGAAUUUUUUCCCACUCAUCUCAUCAAUACAUCACUUCUCACUCCAUUUUUCUCGCUCUCAUCUUCCCAUGCGUGUCCCAUUCUACUUUCCUUCGCUCCCCACUUUCCCUUGUCCCUCACUCCUUGUCCCCAUGCUUGUCCCCCACUCACAACCCAUAUUCUACUCACUCACGUUUUCACCAUGGGAACCAGCUGGAAACUCCAACUCAAAAACGCAACAAAACAACCUCAAAAUACCCUGUAAAACACCAAAAAAAGUCCAUCCAAGAGGGCAGCAAAAUUAGGUGCGAAAAUAGUCCAAAAAGCAACAAAAUGCAGCAACAAAUCACCAAGAAACGCUGCCAGUUUCCGCCCUUCAAACAUCAAUGAAACCCCAGCUGAAACCACCAAAAAUUCAGCCAUGAAAACCAACAAAACAAUACCCCUUUAUAGCUAAAAAUCACUCAAAACAGAGCUCAAAAUGCUGCCAACUCCCCCAUUAAAGCAGCUUCAAAAUCCAGCUAAGAAAAUGUGAUCGAAAGCUUCACAAAAGAACAGCAUGAACACUGCCUAAAAUCAGUCGGAAACAACCUUAAAAUGACCUCAAAACAAACCCCAAUAACCAGUAAAAUUUUAGCCGCAAGAGGCUCAAUCUUUGGUUUGCUUCGCCGUCGAGCUUCGGACUGUGGUUCUGUCCGCAUUCAAGUUUGGCCAACGUUCUUUCUCACUAAUUCCAUACUUGGAGAUUUCUUGAAUGAAAAGUGAAGUUUGCAUCUAUAAAAGAAAAUUUGAGAUUUUCUCUCCAAUGGCUGAUUCAACAUCCCAGAAAAGGGUUACCAGAGGUUCAACAGCAAAUACAGCUGCAGAGAGGAGAAUAAAAAUACGCAAUGACACAUUGAAAGAAGCCCAAGUUGAGAAAUCUUCGAAAGAAUCAACACUUCCCGUUGCGGAAAAGAGAAAAAAACCUAUGGAUGAUGCUUCAGGUGUCAAGGGAAAGGAGGUCGAUGCAAGAAAUAGCUCGGAUACACGGGACGAAAAGGUAAUUGUUGAUGUAUCAAUAUGUAUUUGAGUCCUCAUACAUUGAGUAUUACCUUCUCCAAUGGAUUUCUAUUAUUGUAUGUUAUUGUAUUUAUAUGUGUACAAUAGUGGAUACAUAACUUCCUCUUCUUAUUUGUUAAUUUGAUUUAUAUGUAUGUUGAUGUAUUCAUAAGUAUUCAA